AGCGAACGCUGGCGGCAGGCUUAACACAUGCAAGUCGAACGGGCACUUCGGUGCUAGUGGCAGACGGGUGAGUAACACGUGGGAACGUACCUUUCGGUUCGGAAUAGUCCAGGGAAACUUGGUUUAAUACCGGAUACGCCCUUCGGGGGAAAGAUUUAUCGCCGUUAGAUCGGCCCGCGUCUGAUUAGCUAGUUGGUGAGGUAAUGGCUCACCAAGGCGACGAUCAGUAGCUGGUCUGAGAGGAUGGUCAGCCACACUGGGACUGAGACACGGCCCAGACUCCUACGGGAGGCAGCAGUGGGGAAUAUUGGACAAUGGGCGCAAGCCUGAUCCAGCCAUGCCGCGUGAGUGAUGAAGGCCUUAGGGUUGUAAAGCUCUUUUGUCCGGGAAGAUAAUGACUGUACCGGAAGAAUAAGCCCCGGCUAACUUCGUGCCAGCCGCCGCGGUAAUAC
rnacentral:rRNA from 1 species